rnacentral:rRNA from 1 species
UAGGGAAUCUUCGGCAAUGGGGGCAACCCUGACCGAGCAACGCCGCGUGAGUGAAGAAGGUCUUCGGAUCGUAAAGCUCUGUUGUAAGUCAAGAACGAGUGUGAGAGUGGAAAGUUCACACUGUGACGGUAGCUUACCAGAAAGGGACGGCUAACUACGUGCCAGCAGCCGCGGUAAUACGUAGGUCCCGAGCGUUGUCCGGAUUUAUUGGGCGUAAAGCGAGCGCAGGCGGUUUGAUAAGUCUGAAGUUAAAGGCUGUGGCUCAACCAUAGUUCGCUUUGGAAACUGUUUAACUUGAGUGCAAGAGGGGAGAGUGGAAUUCCAUGUGUAGCGGUGAAAUGCGUAGAUAUAUGGAGGAACACCGGUGGCGAAAGCGGCUCUCUGGCUUGUAACUGACGCUGAGGCUCGAAAGCGUGGGGAGCAAACAGGAUUAGAUACCCUGGUAGUCCACGCCGUAAACGAUGAGUGCUAGGUGUUAGACCCUUUCCGGGGUUUAGUGCCGCAGCUAACGCAUUAAGCACUCCGCCUGGGGAGUACGACCGCAAGGUUG